UACAGAGGUCUCAAGCGUUGUUCGGAAUUACUGGGCGUAAAGGGCGCGUAGGCGGCCUGCUAAGUCGGACGUGAAAUCCCUCGGCUCAACCGGGGAACUGCGUCCGAUACUGGCGAGGCUUGAAUCCGGGAGAGGGAUGUGGAAUUCCAGGUGUAGCGGUGAAAUGCGUAGAUAUCUGGAGGAACACCGGUGGCGAAGGCGGGUCUCUGGGCCGACACUGACGCUGAGGCGCGAAAGCUAGGGGAGCAAACGGG
rnacentral:rRNA from 1 species